UACGUAGGGUGCGAGCGUUGUCCGGAAUUAUUGGGCGUAAAGAGCUCGUAGGCGGUUUGUCGCGUCGGCCGUGAAAACUUGGGGCUUAACUCCAAGCUUGCGGUCGAUACGGGCAGACUUGAGUUCGGCAGGGGAGACGUGGAAUUCCGUGGUGGUAGCGGUGAAAAUGCGCAGAUAUCAGGAGGAACACCGGUGGCGAAGGCGGGUCUCUGGGCCGAUACUGACGCUGAGGAGCGAAAGCGUGGGUAGCAAACAGG
rnacentral:rRNA from 1 species